rnacentral:rRNA from 1 species
CCCUUAGUAACUGCGAGUGAAGAGGGAAAAGCUCAAAUUUAAAAUCUGGCAGUGUUUCACUGUCCGAGUUGUAACCUAGAGAAGUGUAACCUGCACUGGACCGUGUAUAAGUCUCCUGGAAUGGAGCAUCACAGAGGGUGAGAAUCCCGUCUUUGACAUGGACCACCAGUGCAUUGUGGUUGUGCUCUCAACGAGUCGAGUUGUUUGGGAAUGCAGCUCUAAAUGGGUGGUAAAUUCCAUCUAAAGCUAAAUAUUGGCGAGAGACCGAUAGCGAACAAGUACCGUGAGGGAAAGAUGAAAAGAACUUUGGAAAGAGAGUUAAACAGUAUGUGAAAUUGUUGAAAGGGAAACGUUUGAAGUCAGUCGCGUUGGUUGGGGAUCAGCCUGACAUUGUUGGGUUUACUUCCUGGUCGACGGGCCAACAUCAGUUUUGACUGCCAGAAAAAGGCCAAAGGAAUGUGGCACCUUUGGGUGUGUUAUAGCCCUUGGUCGUAUAUGGUGGUUGGGACUGAGGAAAGCAGCGUGCCGAAAGGCCGGGUUUCGACCACGUUCACGCUGAGGAUGUUGGCAUAAUGGCUUUAAGCGACCCGUCUUGAAACACGGACCAAGGAGUCUAACAUGCAUGCGAGUGUUUGGGUGGAAAACCCUUACGCGUAAUGAAAGUGAAAGUUGAGAUCCCUGUCGCGGGGAGCAUCGACGCCCGGACCAGAACUUUUGGGACGGAUCUGCGGUAGAGCACGUAUGUUGGGACCCGAAAGAUGGUGAACUAUGCCUGAAUAGGGUGAAGCCAGAGGAAACUCUGGUGGAGGCUCGUAGCGAUUCUGACGUGCAAAUCGAUCGUCAAAUUUGGGUAUAGGGGCGAAAGACUAAUCG